rnacentral:misc_RNA from 1 species
CAGAAGUUGCAAGACUCCCUAAACCAUUGUGAACCUACCUUCUACCGUUGCUUCGGCGGGCGGGCCCAGCGCCCCCCCGGCCCCCCGCGGGCGCCCGCCGGAGGAUACCCAAACUCUUGACAUUAGUGGCCUCUCUGAGUAUUCUUUACUGAAUAAGUCA